CGCUGAUGGAGGAGUACAGCAUCGCUGCUCAGGUGUGGAAGCUGAGCUCAUGUGACAUGUGUGAACUGGCCCGAAACAGUGUCCUCAUGAGUGGAUUUUCUCACCAGGUGAAAAGCUAUUGGCUGGGGCCGCAUUAUCUCAAAGAGGGGCAGGAGGGCAACGACAUCAGACGCACUAAUGUUCCAGACAUCCGAGUGGCGUACCGCUUUGAGACGCUGUGCGAGGAGCUGAAUCUGAUCACCCAGGCUGUGCGGUCAGAGGAGCUGGAGACGGCUGAAGAGCAGGGUUCCCUGUGCAUGGGUGCCAGACGUUAGCGGUGUCAUACUCUCUCAGUUAUUCACCCAGUACAGAAUAAUACCAACUGGAAACACUUACAGUAUCUGUGAACUACUAGAAGGCUCCAGAUAUCCAGUCAAGCAUCAGGAAACCCCAGAAAUCUCCCCCACUGUUACUGUGGACACUGUCCUUAACCUGCAGUUCAGCAUGAAAUCAGUGAAAUGGUUUACACUAUCAUAGAUUAUAAACAUUUGAUGUCGCUUGUACACUUGCUCUGAACACUAACAGCCAUAAACAUUUGUUCUUUGGCUACUGUGUGUGAGCUCAAGUACCUACGCACAUCUCUGCUAUGAGCCGUCAACAUCCUGUCAUUUUUAAAUUGAUUUUUAUCUCCUCUAUAUUCUUGAUUUUAACAGGUUUUGUUCUAAUAAGUUUAUUAUUGUUUGUGAUCAUUAUUUUAUAGUGGUUGUAUCCUUUGUCAUUUGGCCAUUUUUAUGUGUGUCUGUAAUUGAAUAAUUAUUAGUGCUAUUUAUUGUAAAUCAG